CUGGAGGUCUUCCUACUCCUCUCAGUUCUUCCACCUAGAUCCAUAAGCCGGGCCUUUCUUACAAUCUCGCUUUUUUUUUUUUCCAUCUACCCUCAACUCACCAACAUAAGUGCAGAUCCAACUCUGCCCCAAUGCCCGCCUGGCCCCGAAGCACCCAGUUCUAGGGACUCUCCUCCAAUGCCUGAGAUUUAUGGGCCUGAAGAAAAUUAUGCGUCCCUGCAAAUGUCAUCUGCUGAGACACCCCACGCGGAGACCAUCUCUCCUCUUCCUUCCUCCGUGGAUCUGCUUGUUCAGGACAGUCCCGACUCCUCCACCAGUCCCAGGGUAAAACUACCACCCACUUCUGGAGAGGAGAGAACAGUGAGGAAGGAAGAUACGGCCCAGGGCAAGAAACAGAUCAGGACCGUGUUCUCUCAGACCCAACUCUCUGUCCUCAAUGAUCAAUUUCAGAGACAGAAAUGCCUCAGUCUCCAGCAGAUGCAAGAACUUUCCAACAUUCUGAACUUAGCUAUAAGCAGGUGAAGACCUGGUUCCAGAACCAGAGUAUAAAAUGUAAGAGUUGGCAGAAAAACCAUUGGCCAAAGGAGAGAGAGAGUGUGACUCAGAACACCACAGCAACCGCAGAAUACCCAGGCUUCUAUUCCUACCACCAGGGAUACCUGAGGAACACUUCCGGAAACCUUCCAAUAUGGAGCAACCAGACCUGGAAUAACCCGAAUUGGGGCAACCAGAUCUGGAACAGCCAGUCUUGGAGCAACCAUUCCUGGACCAGUCAGAGCUGGUGCCCCCAAGCCUGGAACAAUCAGUUCCAGAACUGUGGAGAGGAAUCCCUGCAGCCCCAGAUCCAGUUCCAGCAAAAUUCCAUCAGCAAUUUGGAGUCCAUCUUAGAAACUUUUAGGGAAAGCCAUAGUGUAAUACAACAAUCUGCUAAGUAUUUUAGUACCCAGCAAAUAAUGGAUUUGUUCCCAAAUUAUUCUGUGAACAUACAGCCUGAAAAUGUGUGACGAUGAGUAUAUUAUUCAAUCUCAAUUUGGGCGGUGGCUGUAUUACUUCUCCUAGGCUUUGUCUUUUAGGGUCCUAUAUAGCUCUGCCUCGAUAUUCUGUUUCCCAAUAUUCUUAUUGUGUCCAUUGAGGGGGUACGAUUGGAGUCAAAGAGGUUUCAGUAGCAUUGGCUGCUAUGGACAACAUGAUAUAAGGUGUUUCUGGCUAUAGAUAACUAGAUACAAUCCUAAUGUGGAUAUCUUUAGGCUCUAGAAUCUAACCUCAAGAAUAGGAAGUGAAGAUACAAAGACAUGUGAUGAAGGAUAAUUUGUAUUUUCUGAGAUUGUGAGGCUUUUCAUGUUAAUAACCUCAAUUGUUAACGGUGAAGGGCUAAACUAUAAUGUGCUUCAUUGAUUUCCUCUGUCCCUUGUGAUGUUUUACUAGAACUGUUAAUUUGUUCAUUAUUCUAGAAUUUGUAGAAACAUGUUUUGUAUUUUAAUGUAUCAUGAUAAUA